rnacentral:rRNA from 1 species
CCCUACGGGGCGCAGCAGGCGCGAAAACUUUACAAUGCGGGCAACCGUGAUAAGGGAACCUCGAGUGCCUGUAAAUGCAGGCUGUUUAGGUGCUUAAAACGCACCUGGAGAAAGGGCCGGGCAAGACCGGUGCCAGCCGCCGCGGUAAUACCGGCGGCUCGAGUGGUGGCCGCUUUUAUUGGGCUUAAAGCGUUCGUAGCUGGGUUGUUAAGUCUCUUGGGAAAUCUGGCGGCU